CAGUAGCCGCGGUAAUACGAAGGGGGCUAGCGUUGUUCGGAAUUACUGGGCGUAAAGCGCGCGCAGGCGGCUAUCCAAGUCAGUGGUGAAAGCCCGGAGCUCAACUCCGGAACUGCCAUUGAAACUGUUUAGCUUGAGGACGAGAGAGGUGAGUGGAAUUCCCAGUGUAGAGGUGAAAUUCGUAGAUAUUGGGAAGAACACCGGUGGCGAAGGCGGCUCACUGGCUCGUUUCUGACGCUCAGGCGCGACAGCGUGGGGAUCAAACAGGAUUAGAUACCCCCGUAGUCCCUGUCUCUUAUAC
rnacentral:rRNA from 1 species